CACAGGCAAAGACACUGGAAAAUGUAAAUAUAAUGGAUUAGAAGUCACAUAUACAUAGAGUGAAAUUCAGCUAGCUUGAAUGCCAUCACACCUGGUACUGGUUCAAACCCAAUGUUUAUGUUAAGACUGUCAACAAGAACCACAUGAGGCAUCCUUAGAGAGGGAGGACAACAGUUACUACAGUAACUGUUAUAACAAUAACAGCAAUAAUAAUAGCGAGAAGAACAAUAGAUAAAUGUUUAGAGAUAUGGAUGGAUGGACCCUUGUUUUCAUAGUAUUGGCUGGAGUUGUCGGACUAGUCAGCUCAGAUAAAGACGUCAUAAAAUGUCAAUCAGGCGUUAUAGUUGGAGUCAAGAAUUGUAGCAGGGAAGACAAACACACUACGACAGUUGAACAUAAAUCUAAUGAAACAGCGAACUCAAAAACCAACGAAAAGGACACUGUAUUUGUUGUGCUAAUAACAGUUCCUGUUAUCGUUUUUGCAGCUAUAUUCAUUGGUGUCAUAUACGCAUGUUUCUCUAGGAAACUUUACAGGAAGUUGCACAUACCCUGUAUACGAAACCAAGAUCAAGUUUUACAGACGGAGGGACUGCCUUUAAACUCUGAAAACAACCAAGGAAGGGUUUAACACAUGUACAUUUGGGACAUUUGAAUAUCAUUAUCUCAUUACCAGGACUACUGAUUAAAACACUAUCUAAUGUCCGAAAUAUGGAGGUUAAAUCCAUUAAGAAAAAUGUGACUCUCAAAUUACUUCAACAUUCCAUUGUGUAUGAGAUAUCGAAUUCAGGAACAGAAGUUUAUCUGAAGUUUUAACCUAUUGAAUGUGGGUAAUAUGCAUGUAGAAUUUGUGUGCAAUAUUUCUUGCAAUAGUUAAAGUUAAAAUAUCUUUUUUCUUCGAGAAAUUAGAUUAAUGUAUUGAAACUUUUAAACUUUGUUUUUCGAAACUUCGAUUUUAUUUUUAAGAAAUAAAUGCUUAUAUUGCGUGUCAUGUAUGUCCAGUGCCAAUCAUAUGUACAAUUUCCUUUUAUUGCUUAAAGACAGGCAAAUACUUUUUAGUUUAGUAAGUGCAUAUUGUGAUUGUACUAAUUAUUGAUAAGUCAUUGAUUGUAUCAAAUACAUGGCCAAGUAUUAUAUUAUGUGAAACGUAUUUAGAAUCCACAGCAACUAAAUUAAAUCAUAAACGCUUUGAGUGUAGAAACAAAUUACAUAUAGAUAUUCAUAUAAGAUUGACUAGUUAUGACCUUUUUGUUCGAUAUGUAACAUUUUAUUUUAUUUUUAGCGAUAUUUUUAAUUUAAACUUCUGUUACAUUUUGUUGUCUUUUAUGUAUGAUAAACGUCUUCCAUUAUCGUAAAAAUUGAAAUUUGAUACAUGUUAGUAACAUUUCAAAUAAAUUCAACAUUGUUAUAUGCAUCAUUGAUGUUUAAGAUUCAAGAAAUAUUAUAUCAAUAUUGAAUAAAGUGUUUUAAUUUG
rnacentral:sRNA from 1 species